rnacentral:rRNA from 1 species
CAGCCGUAAACAAUGUGCGUUAGGUGUGUCGGUAACCACGUGUUACUGAUGCGCCGAAGAGAAAUCGUGAAACGCACCACCUGGGAAGUACGGUCGCAAGGCUGAAACUUAAAGGAAUUGGCGGGGGAGCACCACAACAGGUGGAGCCUGCGGUUUAAUUGGAUUCAACGCCGGACAUCUCACCGGAUAAGACAGCUGGAUGAUUGUCAAUCUGAAGGUUUUACAUGACUAGCUGAGAGGAGGUGCAUGGGCGUAGACGUCU